rnacentral:lncRNA from 1 species
CCGUGGAUGGUCUGAACCUCCUCGAACUUGCGAAGGUCCCAGAUCUUGACUUUGCGCUCUUUACCAGACGUGGCCAUGAGAUGACCGUUCGGAUGAAAGGCAACAGCAGAGACCGGUCCAGGGUGGCACUGCAUUUGGACCAGAGGUGCUUGGCUGGUGGGUUUCCACAUCGUGACGGUUCCACCGGAAUGUCCCAAGGCGACAACGCCGUUGUAGGGAUUCACUUCCAUUACGUCUGUUCUGCCUUUGCCUGUACGGAUGCUAGCCACCAUGUCGCCGUAGGUAACGUCUUGGUAGUGUAGCUGACCGAUUUUGUUUAUUGAUGCGAGGAGGAAAUGGUUCUUUAGGAACCGGAGUCUGGCUACUGGACCACGCUCCUGAAGUUAGGCAAGAACAGGUGUAAGUUUCAUUAUUUGAUCCAUAUAGUUGUAUAUCAACAAAAAAAAGACAGUAAGCCUCACCUUCAGACAAUGGAGCUCAGUUCCAUCUCUCGCGUAAAUAUAAGAAUACCUGUAAGAAAACAAAGAGUCAAAAUAUUAGUCCAAGUACCCUCCAAGACACAAGGAGGCAUAAGGAUAUCCCCUCUCGUCGGCUUCUCCUUCCUCCUCGACGGCCUCAUCGCCCCGAUCUUCGAAGGAUCAAGCAUGAUCGUCUCAGGUGGAAGCUUAUCAAGAAGCAAAUGAACUUCCUUCUCCCUCCUCUGCUUCGACGUCUCAAACGGAUUAGCCACCCAAGAGUCGAAGUUAGGCUCCCCAGACCCUGGAAUGAGGACGCUCGACCAUCCCAUCGAGUGGCCGAUCCCGAGAACAUCCUCAUACGGUCUGAACAUAACCUUCUCCACCUGGUAGCCUUUCACCAUCGGGUGACUCAUGUAUCUACUAUGGCCGCCACCACUCGAGUCUCCCAAAACUUGAACAAACGAUCCGGUUCCAGCCGCUAGCAACCCUUUCUGGCUGAAACUCAGCGUCUUGGCGUGGAAACCGUGGAUGGUCUGAACCUCCUCGAACUUGCGAAGGUCCCAGAUCUUGACUUUGCGCUCUUUACCAGACGUGGCCAUGAGAUGACCGUUCGGAUGAAAGGCAACAGCAGAGACCGGUCCAGGGUGGCACUGCAUUUGGACCAGAGGUGCUUGGCUGGUGGGUUUCCACAUCGUGACGGUUCCACCGGAAUGUCCCAAGGCGACAACGCCGUUGUAGGGAUUCACUUCCAUUACGUCUGUUCUGCCUUUGCCUGUACGGAUGCUAGCCACCAUGUCGCCGUAGGUAACGUCUUGGUAGUGGAGCUGGCCGAUUUUGUUUACUGAUGCGAGGAGGAAAUGGUUUUUUAGGAACCGGAGUCUGGCAACUGGACCACGCUCCUGAAGUUAACCAAGAACAGGCAUAAGUUUCAUUAUUU